GCAGACACAUUCCAGCCAAUCAGCAGCAGACCCUCCCUCCCAGACCCUCCCACCUCCUGGACAGCCAUUGUGAAGCUGCAUUCUUAGUGAGCUGUCCAGGAGGUGGGAGGGUCUGGGAGGGAGGGUCUGCUGCUGAUUGGCUGGAAUGUGUCUG